rnacentral:rRNA from 1 species
GACGAACGCUGGCGGCGUGCCUAAUACAUGCAAGCCGAGCGGACAGAAGGGAGCUUGCUCCCGGAAGUUAGCGGCGGACGGGUGAGUAACACGUGGGCAACCUACCCUGUAGAUCGGGAUAACAUCGAGAAAUCGGUGCUAAUACCGGAUAAUCAUUUGAAGUGCAUGCUUCGAAUGUAAAAGAUGGCUCCGGCUAUCACUACGGGAUGGGCCUGCGGCGCAUUAGCUAGUUGGUAAGGUAAUGGCUUACCAAGGCAACGAUGCGUAGCCGACCUGAGAGGGUGAUCGGCCACACUGGGACUGAGACACGGCCCAGACUCCUACGGGAGGCAGCAGUAGGGAAUCUUCCGCAAUGGACGAAAGUCUGACGGAGCAACGCCGCGUGAGUGAUGAAGGUUUUCGGAUCGUAAAGCUCUGUUGUUAGGGAAGAACAAGUGCCGUUUGAAUAAGGCGGCACCUUGACGGUACCUAACCAGAAAGCCACGGCUAACUACGUGCCAGCCGCCGCAGUAACAC